UUACGAACAAAUUUGAGUUCAGAUUGUGAAUAAUAUUAUUAAAGGAAAAUAAUAUCAAUCUUUUGAUUUUUGUGUUUCUGAAAUUAAACAUACAAUUUGGAAUAGGAAUAUUGAAAAUAUUUCAAGAAAAUUAUUAAACAAAUUUGUGAAGAGUAAAGAUAAACAGUGAUUGGACCAGAACUGAUUCUUGGAACCAUCUUAGAGUCAUCAACGGGUAGUGCAGAACCAAUUUUUAUAAAGUGGCAGCACAACCAAUAUAUUACAAACUGGGUGACCCUAGGUUGGAAAAAGCUUUCAUUGUGCAGAAGUAAAAGCUCUGUACAAGAAGUAAAAGCUCUCUCCAAGAAUUUGUAUUUAGCAAGAGUCUGAACCCAAGAAAAUAAGUCUUAACUGUGGAGGGAACGGAAAUCCCAGUUGGAAAUUUUAGAAGAAAAGGGAGGCAAACGUAUUGUUCUCAGUGGCUGUAGGGAUUAGGUUAAAGUUAGGAAUUACUUUUAGGGGAUCUUGGAAAAUUAUAUUUUAAACCUAUUAGAUUAAGUUUUGAAACUAUUAGGGCGUUAUUUGUAAAAAGGAUCCAUCGAGAUAUUUAUAAAUUAGUUUACCGAUAACAAAAACAAACCAGAGAAAUAUUUAGGUUUUGCGAAAUAAAUCUGUCCUUCAACGAGCUCUUUUAGGGAUAGGAAUAAUAUUCGG